AGAGGUUUCUAGCUCCGCCAUUUUGCUACUAAUACAUCUUUCCGUCCAUCUUUCCACCCUUUGCGAGGUUAUAUUGUAGAAAAUGUUGGGUCAAGCCUUAAGACAAGCAAGAACAGCCCUCUUUAGACGUAGAAUGACAACAGGACGAAUGCCAGAUCAUAUAGGAGAAGGCGGUCAACAAAUUUCAACAGCUCAUCAAGUAACGGCCCUUACUUGCAUUGGCCUUGCUCUUCUUGGACCUGGUGUAUUCUUAAUGUUAACACGGAAGAAACCAACGGCUGAACAUUAACUGGUAUCAAGAAUCGACAUUACAUCUGUGUGAACUCUCUAUUUCAUUGUAUUGUUGAUAUGAUCAUUUAAUCUUGACCAGAGACUUUUGUAAAGUGAUUUUUUUCUCACCAAGAAUGUGUUAUAAAAAUAAAUACUUUUACCACUGA